rnacentral:rRNA from 1 species
GAUGAACGCUGGCGGCGUGCUUAAUACAUGCAAGUCGAGCGGACGGACCAGAAUUUUGUUUCGCUGUUGUUAGCGGCGGACGGGGGAGUAACACGUGGAUAAUCUACCUAUAAGACUGGGAUAACUUCGAGAAACGGGAGCUAAUAUCGGAUUAUAUUUUGAACCGCAGGGUUGAAAAGGGAAAGACGGUCGUGCUGCUACUUAUAGAUGGAUCCGCGCUGGAUUAGCUAGUUGGUAAGGUAGCGGCUUACCAAGGCAACGAUGCAUAGCCGACGUGAGCGGGUGAUCGGCCACACUGGAACUGAGACACGGUCCAGGCUCCUACGGGAGGCAGCAGUAGGGUAUCUUCCGCAAUGGGCGGGAGCCUGACGGAGCAGCGCCGCGUGCGUGAUGAAGAUCUUCGGAUCGUGAUACUCUGUUACUAGGGAAGAACAUAUUUGUAAGUAACUGUACACAUCUUGACGGUACCGAAUCAGGAAGCCCCGGCUAACUACGUG